ensembl:lincRNA
AUUUUAUUAUAUCCAAUAUAAUUUGCUAAUAGUAACAAUACUUUCCCUCUAUUAUUUGUAACCAUCUAAUUAAUUGUUCUAAUUUAUGGAGAGAAACCAAAGAUAGCUAGUUGAGGCCCUUGGCUUAAGAAUCAUGUCUUCCCCAUCUCUUUCCACAGGGCAGAGGUUGACUGGAGAUUGGAGCAUGUGGCCUGAAAAAGAUUCAUGUAAAGAGACAUGAUCAGGCCCUCACAGUCUCCAAGGACACGUUCUCGAGGGGUGGAAGGCAGUACGGGACCUGGUGCCACUUCUUCCCAUUACCGUGUCAUGCCAUAUACUGAACAUCUAAUGGAGCAGAAUCACCAGCUUGAGAACGAACUAUGUCUAUUUUUCUCAGCUAUAAGCUCAUCGGAAAGAGUGAGAGGUAUUUUUUUUUUUUCCUUCUCCCAAAGAGGGACCAGGUUCUGUGUUCUGGAUGUCUGGACUUCUGUCUCAGAGGAGCAUUAGAUGCCUUUGUUUUCAAUCAUCUAGGAGACAGGACUCAACCCAGCUAGGGUAAGGAGGGCUCCAUGGGUUGAAGGGGAGGGGAAGAGGGUGGUCGGGGUGGAGCUCUAAGGCUGGUUGGAGGGAAGGAGGGGAGAUCUUGAAAUAGUGAAGACCCAACCCAGUCGGCAGGCACUAUCUGAUGAACGGUGACACUUUGGACCACCAGGGCUGGUCACCUGGAGGACAGAGAAUGAUCAGGUACUGCUGUGCGUGACUCUAACAGCCCAGGCAAGUGACCCCCCACUACUAAGCCUGGCAUGCAAGGAGGGGUGCACAGGGCAUUAACUGCCUGCCAGCACCUGGACCGGUUGGCCUAGACUCAUGCAGCUAGCCAGGCUCACUUCCGAUGGAACUGCAGCCCGGGGCAGAUGGCUGGGGACCAUACCCACACGUCCAGUUGAUCCUGGAACAACACAGGUUUGAAUUGCUCGGGCCCGUUGAUUCGUUAUACCAACUAAACCCCCAACUUUAUUUGGAUGUCUCCAGUUUUUCCACUAAUGCCCUCUUUCUGUUCCAGGAUCCAAUCAAAGGGGCCACAUAGCAUUUAAUCAGCCUCUCCAGUCUCCUCCAGUCUAGGACAGCGUUUCUGUCUUCCCUAGUUUUCCAUGACCUUGACUGUCCUAAGGAGUAGUGGCCAAUUAUCCUGUAGAAUGUCUCCCAAACUGAGUUUGUCAGAUAUUUUUCUCAUGCUUGGACUGGGGUUGUGGGAUCUGGGGAAAAAAAUCCCACAAGGGUGAAGUGCUCUUCUCAUCACAUCCUGUCAUCAGACGGUCCGUGACACCCACAUGGCAUCACUGAUCAUGUCAGCCUUCAUCGCUCAGUGGACGUGAUGUCUGCCAGCUUUCACCCCUGUCAAGUUACGAAUCCCAGUUCCCUAGUCUCUUCUUCUAAAACCACCCAGCCCUUUUUUAUUUGCAAUAGAAAAAUAAAGAAAUAGGAUGCUGCUUGCAACUGAGUGUCACGGAAGCGUUCUUGACUGUUAUAUUUAUAUUUGAGCAAGGGUUUUCUUGAAGCCCUCUGCCUCGACCAAAAGUAGCAACUCUAAUGGUAGGAAUUUCAGGCUCUGUGACAGUUGGGUGUGGGCGUGUGGGCCUGGGUGAUAAAUGCGAGCAGCGUUCUCCAUCCUCCCGCUCAGGCGGGGCCCCGCGCCUCGGCCUAUAUAUAGGACCAGAGCAUAGAGUAGCCUGUUCAUAAAAUCUUGGUACAGAUUUGAACACUCAACACACCCACGCACAUUCAAGGGACUAUCCUACCACUUAUUUGCUAACACGGGGUAGAAGUGCAGAUUCAGAAGGGGUGAUGAUUGUUUACCCAGGACAAAUUAAGCAUCUUUGGUGGAGAGCGUCACUGGAGAGGAAUAUGGCCCCCUUUCUAUUUCCAGUUUGACUUGUUCCCAACGAGACAGUCACUCCAUUUUGAGAGUAAGCCCCUCCCUCCAUCCUUGAAAUUGGAAGCUACGUGGAGAUAGAUAUGAAAAUAAGCAUACAGCCCCCUCCCUCAGUGUUCAUGCUCCCCGCACAGAGAGAUGCUGUUGCAAUUAUUUGAUCUUAAGGCUGCCUAUUUCCGCUCCGGAUAUGACUUCAAGCAUCUCUUCUUUUCUUAAAUGCCUCCGAUGACCCUAAAAGGUAUGGACAGACUUUCAGGUUUAAUGCUUUAGACGGAAAGUAUAUUCCUGGGGUUGGGGUUGGGAUCAGGAGAAAGACUACGGAUCAUUCAGAACCUCCGGGAUGACAAAGUGUUUGUUGGAACCUUGCAGAAGUUGUUUAUUGGGCUUCUGACUCGUACAGAAACAAGGAAUUCAGCAACAGAUUUGGAGCAAUAAAGCAUGGUAAUGUUUGUUCACACUUCGUGCUGUCAGAAUUAAGAUUCAGUUCCAUAAGCCCUCGACUUGGGUCCUUCACAGAAACCAUCUCAUAAUAUCCCUUCACGUGGGCUGUGUUACAGCCGUUCUGCGGGAGGUGAGAGCAAGGCACGGAUUUGAUGGAAGGCUUUUCAAGUGACUGGAGAUUAGGAAGUGGCCUGGGGGGGGGGGGUUCUGAGUUCAGAAAGGCACUCUAGCGUCCGCUCAAGAUCAAGGGUGAAGUGAGCCUCCCACAUCCACCUCAUUUUAAACCUUCUCUUUCAUUCAGUCCUUUUGCUGGAAGUUGGACUGCAGGGCAGAGGAUUAGGACAAGAUUCUGCCUGUGCUCCUAAGAGGCUCACAGUUUGGAGGGGGUGACCACAGGGAAAGGAGGAUGGGAGACAGAAGGAUGAACAGUGGCCAGAGUUACCCAGGUGAUAAGUUGGGGGGGGAGGGGAGAAGGGCAUUCUGGGCAAGGGGAGGGGCAGGGACACCGAAAAGCCCCAGAGGCAGGCUGGGAGAACUCCAGG